GGUGGCUCAGUGGUAGAGUGCUUGCCUUAUAUGCAUAAGGCCCUAGGUUCGAUUCCUCAGCACCA
rfam:Dipodomys ordii contig_53262, whole genome shotgun sequence.